CAGUGUGACUCGUCACACUAUCAUUAACUGAAUCCAUAGGUUAAUGAGGCGAACCGGGGGAACUGAAACAUCUAAGUACCCCGAGGAAAAGAAAUCAACCGAGAUUCCCCCAGUAGCGGCGAGCGAACGGGGAGGAGCCCAGAGCCUGAAUCAGCAUGUGUGUUAGUGGAAGCGUCUGGAAAGGCGCGCGAUACAGGGUGACAGCCCCGUACACAAAAGCGCAUGUGCUGUGAGCUCGAUGAGUAGGGCGGGACACGUGGUAUCCUGUCUGAAUAUGGGGGGACCAUCCUCCAAGGCUAAAUACUCCUGACUGACCGAUAGUGAACCAGUACCGUGAGGGAAAGGCGAAAAGAACCCCGGCGAGGGGAGUGAAAAAGAACCUGAAACCGUGUACGUACAAGCAGUGGGAGCACAGGUUUACCUGUGUGACUGCGUACCUUUUGUAUAAUGGGUCAGCGACUUAUAUUCUGUAGCAAGGUUAACCGUAUAGGGGAGCCGUAGGGAAACCGAGUCUUAACCGGGCGUUAAGUU
rnacentral:rRNA from 1 species